GAGAUCAAAAUCGAUCGAAGCGGUCUCCCUUUCUAUAAUCGUGUACAGAGAGAUACAGACCGAUUUCAACAGUUGCAGAGAGGAAGAGAGAGAGAGAGAGAGAGAGAGAGAGAAAGAGAGAUGAAGAUCACAGCUCUUCUGGUUCUGAAAUACAAUUCUGAUGGAUCGGACCCCAUUAUUUUGGCCAACGCCUCUGAUGUAAGCUCUUUCGGGUACUUUCAAAGGACAGGAAUCCGAGAAUUCAUCGUCUUCGUUGGCCGAACCGUCGCCAAGCGAACUCCACCGGGGCAACGCCAAUCCGUUCAACAUGAAGAAUACAAGGUUCAUUCUUACAACAGAAAUGGAAUCUGUGCAUUGGGAUUUAUGGAUGACCAUUACCCCGUGCGGAGUGCGUUCUCUCUUCUUAACCAGGUACUAGAUGAAUACCAGAAGAGUUUUGGGGAAUCUUGGAGGACUGUGCAGGCAGAUGUAACUCAGCCAUGGCCAUAUUUGACUGGAGCUCUAACAAAAUUUCAGGACCCUGCAGAGGCUGAUAAGUUGUUGAAAAUACAGCGGGAGCUGGACGAAACCAAAAUUAUUUUACACAAGACCAUUGACAGUGUGCUUGCAAGAGGGGAGAGGUUGGACAGUUUGGUUGAGAAAAGUUCAGAUCUGAGUGCAGCAUCACAGAUGUUCUACAAGCAAGCAAAGAAGACAAACCAGUGUUGUACCAUAUUAUAGGCAUUUUGGCUAUGGAGCAACCUGUUGUUAAGUCACUGAACGAUAUUUCUUGUUAAUGAUGUUGGUUGUUGUACCAUAUUAUAGGCAUUUUGGCUAUGGAGCAAUCUGUUAAGUCACUGAACGAUAUUUCUUGUUAAUGAUGCUUGAUUGUUUGUAUGAAGCAGAUGUUUAACAAAAAAAGUGGGUGUGUAAUGCAUGUCCUUAGUUCAAAUAUGGUUACUUGA